CAUCAAACUGAUAGUGAUAUUCCAUCUUCUCCCUUCUUCCUUUAUUUUCUUCUAAAACUACACAAAUUAUUUGUUACUUAAGUGCUUACAUAAAAAUUAACAUCAUCCAUUCCCUCACUAGAUUUUGUUUUCCAGACGUUGUUUCCAUCACUUAAAUUAUCACUAAGACUAUCAUCAGAUGGCAUGAUUUAGGUAUAAAGGAAAGGUAGAGAAUGGAAUUGGUGAUAUCGCUACCAUUAAUAGUGUUAAUCUUGAUAUUGGCUUUAGCAUGCUACCUUUUGGGGAGGUGCAGGGGUAGUAAACAAUCAAUUUCUCAUCCACAACAGUUUGGGCCUCCAGCUCCUCCACCACAAGCCCAACCAUGAUAACAAAAGGCCCAAAAUUGUUUUAGAUUAUUAUUUAUUAGUAUAUAGUUAUUUGACUUUGAAAACUAACUAUUAUAUGUAAUUGUAAAUAAUUAUCUAGUAAUACUAUGUUAAUGCUAUAUUCAUGUAGAAUUGAGCAACACAGAAGGAGAAAAAUUGUCGUAAUGUAAUACGAUUGAUAUUUAUUAUUGUUACUCAUUCAUGACUUUAUCUUGAA